GAUACUGGACCGUUGCAGAGGCUAGACUCAAUGGAACUUAGGAGUGAGUCUUGGAAGUUGUGGAAUCUAGCAUCUCGGAGUACAGCUAGAAUUGACAUAUUUAAGCCUUCUUUUGUAAGUGGUUUUAUGCCGACUUGAACUAGACCGACAUGAAUGUAUUUGUAGUUUCUGGCUAGGUGUUUUUGUAGGGAUUUUUGGGAGAGGAGUUG
rnacentral:lncRNA from 1 species